rnacentral:lncRNA from 1 species
CAAGGGAUUGACAAAACUCACCUAAGUUCUCCUUCAAAUCUUCCUCACAUUCUGAACAUGUUUUUGAGAUAAAAAAAAUAGGAAAAUAAGCAAAAAAUACCACUUGAAAGAUACAAUUGAAAAUAAUGGAUUCAUGAAUCCAUGGUUACAGACGAACAAAAAUAAAACUUUAGUUACAUAGGUAAGAAAUCAAUUCAUCAUUUUUGACACCUACCCAUCCGGUGAUUCCAAAUCAACAGAUUUAUCUGUUCCAUUAUUAUCUUUGAACAAUU